GGCUCCGUAGCUUGGAGGAAAAAAGCGCUCGCCUAGCAAAUUAGAAGUCGUGGGUACGUUUCCCACCGGAGCAC
rnacentral:tRNA from 1 species